rnacentral:lncRNA from 1 species
CACUUAAGCAUGACCUUGAAUGGCCUACUGACUCUGAACCAUUAUAUUUCUCAAAUCCUUCUUCCCUAAGAUUUAAAGAUACCUUCAAAUAAGGUGGAAACCUUCAUUAAAAGUGCAUCCAUUAAGCUGAACAAUAAGGAAAUACAGGAACUGAUGGAACAUCUACCAAUUGAUCGUAAUGGGGAGGUUGAUUUCCGUGUGCUGAUGAAUGAAGUUAGAAACGCUUUAGGAGACACGAUUCAUGCGGGAGAUGUAAAACACAUUCUGAAAGACAUGGGAAUAAAAAUGACAAACAAAGAGAACAAAAAAUUCCUCAAAAGACUACCUAUCUCUGAUGACAAAACAGUGCUCAAGAAAGAACUACUCUCCAGUGUGAAGAACUUCAAAGGAGGGAAAGUAAAUGCCCGUGAUGUGAAAAACGUUCUUCAAAACACUGGUUUCAAACUGGAAUCAAAAGAACUAAAGGACCUGCGGGAUCACCUGCCAGUGACUGACCGUAAAAAGGUUAGCUUGGAUGUGUUGAUGGACGCAGCUAAGUCUUUCACAGGAGAAAAAGUUGACAUCAAAGACAUAAAAAACGUUCUGGAAAACAUGGGAAUCCCACUCGCAGAGAAAGAAGAAUGGAAGCUCUUGAAGACUCUGCCCAUCUCCAAAGAUGGAAAAAUCUUUAAGAGGAGAUUACUGGACAGUGUUGCACAGAUCAAAGGGAAAAAAGUUCAAGCCUCUAAUAUACCACUGAUUUUGAAGAAUGUAGGAUUUGAACUUGAGGAGGACGACCAUAAGGACCUGAUACAGCAUCUACCCAUCGAUGAGGAAUAAAAUGGGUGAAUUAAGUGUGUUAAUGGAUAGGAAUCAAAAACUUUUACUGUAGUAGUACAAUUAAAAUGUCAUCAUCUUAGGUCCUUUUUUUUCUUUCUUUUUUUUGGAGCUGGGACCGAACCCAGG